CAGUCGCCACGGGAAUACAGAGGGUGCAAGCGUUAAUCGGAAUUACUGGGCGUAAAGCGCGCGUAGGUGGUUUGUUAAGUUGGAUGUGAAAUCCCCGGGCUCAACCUGGGAACUGCAUCCAAAACUGGCAAGCUAGAGUAUGGUAGAGGGUGGUGGAAUUUCCUGUGUAGCGGUGAAAUGCGUAGAUAUAGGAAGGAACACCAGUGGCGAAGGCGACCACCUGGACUGAUACUGACACUGAGGUGCGAAAGCGUGGGGAGCAAACAGGAUUAGAUACCCCAGUAGUCCCUGUCUCUUAUAA
rnacentral:rRNA from 1 species